ACUCCAGCCUCCUUGCAAGCUUGGGGCGCCUCAUUCUCUCCCGUGCCCCUUCUCCCAGCUGGGUCUGAGCCCCCGCCCCCCUGGCUCCUCCGUUCUGCUUCUCCCAGCUUCUCUGUCCAUCUCCCCCAAUGGCCUCUCUCUACACUCUCUGCCUCAGCUUCCAGGUCUCUGCUGGUCCCUAGGAAGCACUUUGACCUCUGCUUCCCCUUCAAAUGCUGUGGAUCAAGCCUCCCCAACCCCACCAUCCCACCAAAGGGGGCUGCUGACCGAGAGAGCUCACUCAGCCAGCUGCUCCCUCUACCUGGAAACCUCCAUUUGUCAAGCUGCUGCUGUCUUCAAGAUCUACCUGGUCAGAAUCUCCUGCUGUCCUCUUCUGCCACCCACAGCAAUGUGAGCCUUCACUGGCUGGCCUUCCCUACUCACUGGAGCAGAGCUACGGCAUCAGAAUGCCCUGGAGCAGGGGUUAGAAACACAGAUUUCUGAGUCUACACUCGAAGAUUUUUUUUUCUUUCUUUCUUUUUUUUUGUUUUCCAAUUUUUCUAAUUUUAGAGAUGGGGUCUCACCACGUUGCCCAGGCUGGUCUCAAGCUCCUGGACUCAGGUCAUCCUACCACCUAGGCCUUCUAAAGUGUUAGGAUGAGCCCUGAACCUUGUAACAUGAACAUUUAUUAGUUAUAUCUGGAAA
rnacentral:lncRNA from 1 species